CGUAAUCACACGGAACGCGUCGGCAGUCUAGUAACAGACUGGUUCGCGUUUAUCUGUAAUGUUCCGUCUACUGCUCCUGCCGUUCAUUGUCGUAAAACGUAUUGGGUCCCGCACUAAACUACCAAUGCCUAACUUUGAAUUAGGCGUGGCGGCCACCACACCUAAUCCAAAGGUUCGUAUCUACUGCUAUAAUACGCCUAAAUCGUGCUACAUUACAGCGCCUACAGACAUUAUUAUUUACAGUACUGACGGGCGGGCAAUCGUUUGCGUAAGGCUGAACGAGCGCCGUUGUCGAACGUUUCGAAACACGACGGUUCGCCGAGUCAGGAAACAUUUUGAACAAUCGCGUACGACAACAACGUUCGUCCUAGCGUGGACCCGCGUCAAUAUUAUAACAAUUUACCAUUCGUUUCUACGGAUGGUUUUUUUUUUUGUACACCGUUGGAAUGCCG